UACCUGGAUCCAAGAUAAGCACGUAUUUCUGACCAUUUUGAUGAAGAGUGUCAACAAAGCUUCUCAUCUUAUCCAGCGGAAAGUUGAUGGGAUCUAAGGUGAAAUCUUUAAAUGAGUCCAUGUAAUCAAUAUCCGUCCACAUAACUUCAAGGGGUAUAGCUGCUUUUGCAUAGUUGGCAACCACACUCUGUAUAUCACUUACAUUCUUGUAUCCCCAUCGACACUGAUGAAAACCUUCAGAAGAGACAAAAAAUAAUGUGGAAUAACAAGGCAUUUGAUAUAACGGAUUGACAUGAAUAGAUAAAAGGAAACUACAACUAAUUAACAAUUAGAUUGGGAUUCACUGCACAUGUUAGGAGUAAAUUAUGUUAUUUAGUAACACAAUAUGGAAACUACAAGAUAAUAAGUUCAUUGACUUACCAAAGGACCAAUAAGGCAUUGGAGCAGGUCUGCCAAUGAGAUCAGUGUAUUGCUCCAACACCAGUUCCGGAGAAGAUCCAGCGAAAAAGUAAAGAUCAAAAAUCCCACCAAUGGCCUUAUAAGUAAUGCGAUCACCACCAUACACAAUAUCCAUUCCAUUGCUGUUGAGCAGCAACACCCCAUGUGAUGUGCCAGCCCUCACUCUUCCAUCUGGGGAGGGUGAUCUCACGUCCAAGUAAAAAGGNUGAGAGCCAUAAAGGUUGACGUCCGGGUUGGCGCUUGCAAUAUCUGCAUUCCACAGUGUAAGGGUCUGGUUGGGUCGGAGCUUGAAGGAGCUCUUGGUGUGUUCCCCNAGGCCGUAAAGAGAGGCUCUUUGUGGCGGGAGGGAGGAGGAGAGCUGCAAGUACUGGUCUUUGAAGACAAGAAAAGUCUGAGGGUUGGAAGGGUCUGGUGCGGCAUUAAAGAGAACAUCGCUGGAGGAUUUGCGCGACAGAGUGAAGCCAAAUGGGGUGGUGUUGUGGAGGGUGAAAAGAAGGUCUGAGUGUGGAUGUGUGAGAGUGAGAGACUGUGGAGAAGAACCAUGGAGGUGGCGAUGAGGUUGAUACUGAGAAGGGGAGACUCUGGGAAUGAGACGCUGUGGAAUUUCCCAUCUUUUGUUGUUGGAGUCAGUGAUUCUGAGUCUGAACCUAUCCUUGUUCUCAAAGCUUCGAUAUCCAAAACAAAAAACAGUGAUUUAUGUAAGUAGAUAGAUGAUAAAGUGUUAAGAAAAGGUAAUUGGUGGUUGUUACCUUGCAUCAAGGGAGAGGUGAGGAAUGUCGGGUCCGAACAGAGAGGAAGGUUUGAUGAGGUUAAGGUGUGCAAUGAAAGAGUUGUUUUUUGGAUAAGCAUGAAGAGACGAGAUGGUGUAGCCAUAUCCAAGUGGUGAUGAAGCUGAGCAGAAGAAGAUAAGAGAAAGAAAGAUAGAGAGAGAGAAGAGUACAAGAGCGAGAAAAGUGGGUGCAGCCAUGUGUUGAAUGUAAAAUGAAGGGAAUGAUGUUGGAGGGAGGCAUCAAAAAAAGGAAGGAAUCGAAGCUGAGUUGACGCACAUGUCUUUUUACAAGACCUUUACUUCUAGGAACCAACGACCAAGGUAUGUUCGCCCAACUAUAAUAUAAUCGAAACAUGCAUGAUGGGUUCUUGUGAAUGUAAUUCUGCAUUUUGUUCAGUGGUAUUUCGGAACAUGUAUUCAUUCAUAUUUAGUAUGUGAAUUUUAUCCUUGUAAUAAUUAACUAUUAUCAUAAUAUAUAAAAUUGUCUCUGUUAUGAUUAAAAUAAUAUAGAGAAUAACUUAAAUAAAUUUAAUAACUUUCUUUCUGAAGUAACAUAUAUUAAGUAUAUUUUAUUAUAAUAAUUGAGUGUAAUGCUUACCUUUUAUUUUGUCCUCUGGAAUGGGUAUACAACCAAGUUGCUGACUUCAAAAAUAAAAUUGAGUACUUCAAUGUAUAGUAUAAAAAAAUCAUCUUCUUCUUACUAUAUUUAGUGUAUAACAAAUCCUCUUUUUUUUAAUGAUGUUAGAUAACCAAAUUCUUAAAAAUAAUCAUCAACAAAAGCAAAUAAUUUUAACUUAUAUUUAACAUUUAAAGGAUAUUUUAAAAUAAAAUAUUAUUAUAAAAUUUAUCAUUUCAUUGGCUAUUCAUUAUAUACUUUGUAUUCUUCAAUUAUAAAUUUAUUCAUUUAAAUUUAGUUAAGCCACCUACUUCUUAAAGGUCAUAGUUUAAGUCUAAUUUAUUUUUAUAAUAAGAAAAUAUUCUCUUAAAAAAAUGUUGUUGUUUUAUAUAAUAAGUAUAGAGUUUAAGUAGAUAGGAUGCUUUUGUGGAAAUAAUGUGAAUCCUAUCAAUAGUGCAUUGCUAGCCUGCAUGCAACUAAAUUGUGAGCAAUUACCAUUACUAGAUAAUACUCAUUUCUAUUAUUGACAGGAAGAUGUGAUCAUGCUUGAGCUUCAUAACCAUGUUCACACUAUUCUGUAACAUUUAUUUGUAACACAAAAAUUUACAUUUUAUGGAUGUUGGGGCUGUGACCUGAGAAAAUCAAAUCUUUAACAGUAACCAUGCCACUGGUAAGAAAAAAGGCCUCAGAGAUGCAACCAUAAAGAAAGCACAAAUUCUCGGUGGGAAUUCGCUAUCUUAAAAGGUACCCUUCUACUUGAUUUCUACCACCAGCUUGAAUUCCUCUCCAAUAAGAAGUGACAAUUUAGAAACUUGUACACUCACAAACUCAGAGGAGGUAUCAAAAUGUGAUUUCAUAACUGCAUUAGUCAUUGAACUUGUUCUAUUCACAAUAUUCAACUCUUUCUCUGACAAAUCCAUUCUAUUGAAUUUCUGAUGCUUGGGUAUCCCCAAGAAAGUUAUCUUGUCUAUGAUCCACCUUUGGUCCAGAGCAAAUCUUCCAUUAGUCACCUUAGAUGUAAUAACAACGCUAUUGUUCUGUAUAGCCCCGUAAAAGCUUACCAAUGUCCACUCAUAUUUCACCCCUGCUACGUCUAAUGCUUCCCCAUCAUCCAAAUACACUUCACCAUAACUAUUUCCACUGCCACUGAUAACUACCACAAGUUCAAAUGCAGUUUUCCGGGCAGCAUCAGUCGUCAAUGCUUCUCCUUGCAAGGCCAAAACAUUACCUUCCCCAACAUGCACAUUUAUGUGAUCAGGUGGAGCAUCAAGAGUCACAUACUUGCCUGAUUCUGCAAUCACUGAAUUUGAGACAUCAAAGAGGUCAAACCAGGUUCCUUUAGGAAAGUAUGCAUCAACAGUGGUUGCCCCAGAUUGUAGUACAGGUGAUACCAGAACCCCUUUGCCUAAUAGAAACUGAGAGCUUAUUUCAUACGUUGUGACAUCCUCGGGGAAUGAAAAGAAAAGAGGCCGUGCAAUGGGUAUCCCUUUUGUAUGUGCUUCAUACAUUAGUGUGUAGAAAUAAGGGAGAAGACGGUANCGAAGUCCAAGCACUUUCCUAGCUGAUGCUGCAACUGAUUCCCAAAUGUAAAGCUCUUGUCUGAUGGAGUUUAGUUCCGAAUGAUCUCUGGCAAAGGGGUAAAAAGCCCCCAACUACAGUUCGAAAAACAAGACUUGUUAGAUAUGUAUGCCAUGACAUUUCAUAGUUCGUUUCUGCAUGCAUUUCCAACAAAGCAAUGGGUUUUCAAAAGUGACUAAUUUUAUCUUUAGGCUAGGAAAGCUAUGAACACAACAACAUUUCACAGUAUAAAAAUAUUACUCCAUACUACUGCAUCUGAGGGACAAUUUUACCUGGAUCCAGCGCCGGCAAAGUUCUUCAGUUGUAUUUCCACCAAAACCACAGAUAUCUGCUCCAACCAUUGGAAUUCCAAAGAUUCCAGAAUUUAAUAUCGAUGGAAUUGAAUAUGCCAAAUCGUUCCAUGUAGCAGCAUUAUCUCCUGUCCAAUGUGCAGCAUACUUACCAGAACUCACAAAAGUUGAUCUAGUUAGGAUGAAUGGCCUUUUACCAGUUAUAUCCACUAAUGCCUUGUUAGUAACUUUGGAUUCUAGUAGUCCAUACAAAUUGUGGGCAUUGUACUCAGUGACAUUACCAUAGUGCAAAGAUGUUGCUGGGACUGUUCUGUCAUUAAUGGGUCGUUGGUCUCCAACAUUGUUAAUUUUAUAGGGAGGGUUAUCAAGACUAGAAGACGGAAUGGAGGGAGAAGUGAUGAAAUUAGAUAACUCAUUCAUGUCAAUCCAGAGACCAUCAAAAGGCAGCUGAUCCCUAAAUAAUUUGAUUUCCCCACCCCAAAAUGCUUGGCUUCCAGGGUUUAGGAAAUCGGGGUAAUAAACUUCUCCAGGCCAAACUUUACCAAGAUAGUUACUUCCAUUUCUCUUUAUGUAGAUAUCAGCCUUCAAACCUCUAAUAUAGGUUUCAUAUGUCUCAUUUACACUGAUACCUGUUUCCAAAAUCUGCCUCAAAUUAAUGAAAUAUGUAAUGAUGCAUCAUCAAACACUAAGAGCAGAGUAUAGUUUUAGAGAUUUGACAGAAUUUCUAUGGUGUCAAAACUAUGUACCUGGAUCCAAGAUAAGUACGUAUUUCUGACCAUUUUUGUGAAGAGUGUCAACAAAACUUCUCAUCUUCUCCAGCGGAAAGUUGAUGGGAUCAAAUGUAAAAUCUUUAUAUGCAUCCAUAUAAUCAAUAUCUGUCCACAUUACUUCAAGGGGUAUAGCUGCUUUUGCAUAGUUAGCAACCACACCCUGGAGAUCACUUACAUUCUUGUAGCCAUAUCGACACUGAUGAAAACCUUCACAAGAGAUAUUACUGAUGUGGGUUAACAAGGGAAGUAGAUAUCCAUAGGUACAAUCAUAAAGUUCACAGGAUGCACCGAUAAAUUUUUAAUUCAACGAGACAAUGAAUCACGCGUCUGUUCUUGGAGGAAACAGAGUAACAAGAUUCAUCGUUAUCAAAACAAAAAGAAUGAUAUAGAGCAUUGUGUUAAUGAUACAGUAUAGAACCGUAGAGAAAAUUUCAUCUCCUUUCAAGUUUCAAUUUUCAAAGCUUUGCCACUUCAAUAUUCCUCUUUCUUUAUUUUACUAUAACCGCAGUUAAAAAUAAUGUAAUCAAAGUCUCAAAAGCUUUAAAAAACCGUCGGCACUGAAAUUUUGACCGCAAUAUUUAGGAUUUUAUUUGACAUCCUCAAUCGCAUUUGUCUGUAACUUUCAGUAAUAUAAAAAUUGGAAGGAAACUGCUACGAUUGUGGCUACAAUUUAAAACUUGAAGUUAAGUAUUAGGUGUAUUGUGACUUACCAAAGGACCAAUAAGGCAUUGGAGCAGGCCUGCCAAUGAGUUCAGUGUACUGUUCCAACACCAGCUCUGGGGAGGAUCCAGCGAAGAAAUAGAGAUCAAAAACCCCACCAGUGGCCUUAUAAGUAAUGCGAUCACCGCCAUACACAAUAUCCAUUCCAUUGCUGUUGAGCAGCAACACCCCAUGUGAGGUGCCAGCCUUCACUCUUCCAUCUGGGGAGGGUGAUCUCACGUCCAAGUAAAAAGGNUGAGAGCCAUAAAGGUUGACGUCCGGGUUGGCGCUUGCAAUAUCUGCAUUCCACAGUGUAAGGGUCUGGUUGGGUCGGAGCUUGAAGGAGCUCUUGGUGUGUUCCCCNAGGCCGUAAAGAGAGGCUCUUUGUGGCGGGAGCGAGGAGGAGAGCUGCAAGUACUGGUCUUUGAAGACAAGAAAAGUCUGAGGGUUGGAAGGGUCUGGUGCGGUAUCAAAGAGAACAUCGUUGGAGGAUUUGCGAGAGAGAGUGAAGCCAAAUGGGGUGGUGUCGUGGAGAGUGAAAACAAGGUCUGAGUCUGGAUGUGUAAGAGUGAGAGAGUGUUGGAAACCUUGUUCGCUAUUGAGGAAGCGAAGAGGGUGAUACUGAGAAGAGGAAGCUCUGGGAAUGACAUGCUGUGGAAUUUCCCAUCUUUGAUGAUUAGAGUCAGUGAUUCUCACUCUCAACCUAUCCUUGUUCUCAAAA
rnacentral:lncRNA from 1 species